GUCCGGCUGAACUCCCUCACCGCCUCCGGCACGUCCGCCCCCACCGCCAGCGGCGCGAAUCCGUUCACCCACGCCUCGUAGUUCGCCUCCAUCGCCGAGAACACCUGCUCGAUCUCCCCCUGCUCGAAUCCCCCGUGGGGAGAAGCCGACGAGGACGAGCUUGUUGAAUAGCUGGGGGCGUUUGAUGGAGGCGAGGAUUCCGAUGGUGGCGGAGACGGAGUGGCCGACGUAGGUGCAACGGCCGAUGCGGAGGGCGUCGAGGAUGCAGAGGAGGUCGUCGACGUAGGCGUCGAGGGAGGUGUAGCGGCGGAAGUCGAAGUAAUCGGGGUUGACGGUGCCAGCGCAGACGAGAUCGAAGAGAACAAUCCGGUGAUCGUGGCGGAAGAAGGGGAGAAUGCGCUGCCACGCCGACUGAUCGGUGCCGAAGCCGUGGGCGAGGACGAGGAUCUUCUCGCCGGAGCCCACCACUCGCACGUUCAACGCCUCCAGUAGACUAUGCCCCAUCGCCAAAAAAAGAAAAUUAAAAAAAAAUGAUUUGAUAAUUUAGUUUUGGUAGUUGAAAAAAUAUUUGAAAAAGAUAUUGGUUUUUGUGGAGUGUGGAAGUGGGUAUUUAUAUUAGGUGAAAGCUAACUAAUAUCUAUGCAUCUCAUCUUCUCUUCA